rnacentral:lncRNA from 1 species
GAUGAUGGCUUAGAGUCAACAUCCCCAUUCAUAUCCCAAUCAAGCCAUGUGAUCAAAUGGUUGUUUUUCUUCUGUGUUUUUACUCCCACAGUUUUUUCUCUGCAUGUAGAUGAUGUUCUUUCUCAUAAGUCCCUCAGAAUUGUCAUUGCAUUGCUUCUAGUAGAGAAGUUCAUUACAUUCUAUUGUGCUACGGGGUAUCUAUCAGUUUUGGUGUACAAUGUCUCCUGGUUCUGUUCUUUUUACUUUGCAUCAAUUCCUGGAGGUUGUUCCAGUUCCCAUAGAAUUCCUCCACUUUAUUAUUCCUUUGAGCAAAAUAGUAUUCCAUCAACAACAUAUACCACAAUUUGUUCAGCCAUUUCCUAAUUGAAGGGCAUCCCCUCAUUUUCCAAUUUUUUGUCACCACAAAGAGCGCAGCGAUGAAUAUUCUUGUACAUGUAUUUUUCCAUAUCUCUUUAGGGUAUAAAGCCAUCAGUGCUAUGGCUGGAUCAAGGGGCAGAUAGUCUUUUAGUGCCAUUUGGGUAUAGUUCCAAAUUGCCCUCCAGAAUGGUUGGAUCAAUUCACAACUCCACCAGCAAUGCAUUGAUGCCCCAACUUUGCUACAUCCCCUACAGCAUUCAUUACUUUCCUUUGCUGUCAUGUUAGCCAAUCUGCUAUGUGUAAGGUGAUACCUCAGAGUUGUUUUUGAUUUGCAUCUCUCUGAUUAUAAGAGAUUUAGAACACUUUUUCAUGUGCUUAUUAGUAGUUUUGAUUUCUGAAAAUUGCCUAUUCAUGUCCCUUGCCCAUUGUUAUAUUUAAAAUGGUUGAAGACUUAAAUUGUAAUAAUUAAAAUGGUUUGAGGUUCAUAAACUGUUGUGAGUAAAAUAGUGGAAGAUAUAAAUUGUAGUAGAUAUAAGAGUGGGUGAGUAAAUUUGUGACUGCAGAAAAUAUGUUUCACUAAAGUGUCUUGGUUUUAAAUCAAAUAUAAGGUGGUCGCCAGGUAAAUAUUCCCAAUUAUGAAUAUACCCAAGUCAACUGGGUUUUAUAGAGAAUUUAAUUAAUAAUACAAUGAGGAAUUAAAGAAAAGAGAGAAAGAGAGAAAAAGGACAUAAGUAUGAAGGGCCUUAAGCCAACAUGGCUGAGACCUGAGUCUUAAGAGAGAGAGAUCAGUCAGUCAGCCUUUUAUCACUCACCACAAUGUCUGUUAAGCAAGGAUUCUAGUGACAGAGUCUCCCCAGAGAGAGUUCCAGUCAGAGUCCUCCUCAAAGAGCCUUCCAGCCAUAGACUGUUUCAAAGGGCCUCUCUCAAGAGCCUCCAGAGGGACAGAGUCCCCUCAGAGGAGCUCCAGCGAGACUUCCUUAGAGAUUGUCCUUCAAGAGCUUCCCUU